AAAGAGGAAAUUGAAAAAAAAUAGCUGCUAACUAAUUUUUUAUAGCGGUUAAAUUCCGUUUACCUCUUAU
rnacentral:tRNA from 1 species